UGCAUCGGCCGGGAAUCGAACCCGGGCCUCCCGCGUGGCAGGCGAGCAUUCUACCACUAAGCCACCGAUGC
rnacentral:tRNA from 1 species